rnacentral:tRNA from 1 species
UAGGAUUGUGGCUCAGUGGUAGAGCGCUCACCUAGCAUGGGUGAGGCACUGGGUUCGAUCCUUAGCAUCAUAA